AAGGUCCCCAGGACGGUGAGGUGAGAGGUUCAACGGUCCAGACUUCGAGGGGGACAAUCUGGCAACAUGCAUCUGAAACCUUAAAGUGUACAUAUAGCCUUUGACUCUGCAAUAUCACUUACAUGAAUUUCUACUAAGGAAAUUGUUAAGGAUAUGUCCCAGUAAUCAUCCUCCAGGUGGUUGAUGGACAACCCUGUUGAAGAUUUCAAAAAUCAGAAAGGAGCUGUGUGUUAAACAAUAAAAGUUGUGUUAAAAGAUUGUCCGUCUAGUAAAUAAAGUAUUAUCC
rnacentral:lncRNA from 1 species